CUAUGUAUUACUUUCAUUGUCUCUUAUUGGUCGUAACUUAUACAUAAGUUUUUCUAAAAAAAAAAAAUAUUGUUACGAUAUGUAAAUGAAUAGUUUUAUUCCACACAAAAUUAAUGUUUGACCAAGUGUUUGCGUUAUAUGUUUAUUAUUUAUUUAAGAUUGUCAUGGAUUAAUAUAUUUUGUAUUUAUUUUUAUUCUCAAUUGAAAUAUAAGUGACUUAUAAAAAUGUAAAACAUAUUGUAGACGAUAAGCACUUUUGAAAAUGAAUAGGAUUGUAUUAAUAUAUGCAAAGUAAUACACACACGCACACUUCAUCAUCUCAUAAUAUAAAUGUUUUUGUAAGAGUUAUAAUAAAAUAUCGAAAAUAAUGAAUAAAAUGAAGGUUUCUGUAAUUUGUGACAAUAAAAUAUUACUUUUGUUUAAACACUAAAUAUUACACUCAAGUUGGUAUUAAAUUAUACGCAUAUUUUGUGUAAGGUGUGAAAUUUUUUUUUUAUUUUUUUUAUAAAUUCAAUAAAUGAAAGACGUAAAACAAAAUGACCAAUUUUUUUCUUUUUGUAAUAUAAAUAAACACAUUUUAACAUGUUCGUAUUGUUAAGAUGUCAUUUAUUAAAAUUUUUGCUUUUAUCAUUUUAAUACAGUUCUGCCAAUUUUACUGCGAGGAAGCAUUUUAUGAAAAGCAGACAUGUAAUGUCAAAUUUAACGAAAAAAUAAUUGAAAUUGAUACAAUAUUUGAAAAGAUUGAAAAAUUAAAUCAAGUACUAGUACAAAGUAAAAAUGCGGAAUUAAUAGAUUCAGCAGAGUUAUUAAAUGAAACGAGUUUAGCUAAUAAAGCAUUCUUAUUAACAACGCAUUCAUCAAGUACAUCAACGCAAUUGGAGCAGAUUUCGAGGAUAUUAAAAAAUAUAUCACAUAAUUUAAGAAUUGUUACUAAUCGUUUUAAAAAAAAAAUGCUCCAUUUGUUUAUUGAACAAAAUCGUAUGAAUAAAAAAACAUUAAAUAUGAUUAAAUGUGAUUUUCUAUUGAUUUUGAAGGAGUACAAUAAAUAUAUUUUAAGUAUUAUACCUAAUUAUUUUAAAUAUAUCUAUAUAUAUGCGUUAGUUAUAUUUCUGCAAUUAAUUAUUGAUCCUAUAGUUACGAAAAUGCUUAUUAGUGGUAUUCCCCUUAUGUCUAGUGCAAAAUUGUUGCUUACGUAUAUGCGCCUCAAUCGAAAAAUAACGAAAAACAUAAAUAAAUAUGUUUAUACUACUAUUACAU
rnacentral:lncRNA from 1 species